GUGUUGUUUAAGUAAGUUUUUCUCAAAUUGGGGUACAUGUACCCCGAGAGGUACAUGAUGGCACUACCGGUGGUACUUUAAAGAGAGAUUGUUAGUCUUGGACCCACCCCAGGCGUGAGAUGAAUGGAAAUGAUAAAAUAUAUAGAAAUAAAUCUAUUCGGGAGCAGCUAGUGCUCCAGUGACGUCCAGUCAGGGUAGGCAAGGUAGGCAGUGCCUACCCAAGGGUGAAUUGAUAUAAUUAUAAAUUAUUUAUUUUUCCAUUUCCAAUAGCCUACAGUACCUAUAAGUUUGAAAGUGUCAGCAUUUUGUGCGUUUCAUAGCCCAAAUUACUAAACAGUGCUAUUUCCUGGAACAGGUGCACAGUCUCACUCCGCUGUAAGGCAGGAGGAGGCCACGCCCCCUCCCAAAGGCACGUUGCUCCUCUGCCUCUGUUCCCAUUGCGUGUUUUUACGUGUUUAUGCAUGCGCAGUCAGUUCCCCAAGAUGACAACCAUUUACGUACAAAGGCAGCCUAGAGACGUAACCGCGCUAUGCUAAAUGCUAUAUGUACGUUCACAGUGCAUUAGUGAAUUGUUAUCACGUGACCGCUACUGCUACUUUUUCUCGCUAGUGGGCGGAAUAACACUACAGUCAGGAUGACAGAGCUAGAGAUGAUAGAGAAACUUUGUUUUGAGGAAAAACGACAGCUUUUAAAAGAUGGAGACCAACACCUGAGCUACCAGACCUUCAGCAAAGAUAAGCCAAAGGUCUCGACUGUCAGACGUGUUUGAAUCCACAAUGUUUAUCAGAGACCUCAGUGACGUGCACAACAGAAACCAUGUGUGUAACGGCCACCACUCAAGUUAGCCUGGGAGGCGUACCAAACACCGUGAUCACCAAACAAUGUGCGCCACCAUCCACUUGUCCAUCCAUCGGCCCUCAGACUGUCACAAUAAAUGCGGGACUCAGUAAUGUGGUAACAUCGGCUCAGUGCUGCAACACGGACAACUGCAACACAGAAACUUUACCUGCACCGACCAGAAACACAACCGUCAACGAACUGGAGUGCAAUUUUUGCAUUCCCAACACCGACUUGUGCAACAUCAUAGUUGGAUGUGAAGGAAGUGAGAACAGUUGCUUUCAGGGAACAGGUGAGUUUGACUCCACCAUGUUUGUGUUUGAUUCCCUUAGAUGGACUGGUGCCCUGUCCAGGGUGUACCCCCGCCUAAUGCCCAAUGAGAGCUGUAGAUAGGCUCUAUCAGACCCCCGUAACCCUGAAAAAAGAAGCAAGUGGAUUAGAUCAGUGUUUCUCAAAUGAGGGUACGCGAUGACUCUACAGGGGUACUAGAGAGAGAGAGAGAGAAAGAAUGGAAAAUCAACAAUUGAGAGCAUGAAAAAUAUGGGUUUUAUGAUUUUUAUUUUUAGUUAAAAGUCUACAUUAUAACAAUGAUGAUUGAAAUGAUCUUGAUAAUAGAAAUGUCAGUCUUGUUCCCACAUCAGGAGGGAGAUGACUAGAGAUUAUUAAAAAACACUAUAGAAAUAUAUCAAUUCUGGAGGCACUAAAUCAAUGUUUUUCAACCUUGGGGUCGUGACCCCAUGUGGGACUGUCUGGAUUUCAAAUGGGGUCACCUGAAAAGUCUAGUAAUUGAUUAAAAAAGUAUUCUUUAAAUUUAAAACAACACAAUCUUAACUGUAUUUCAUACAUUCACUUUCUCAAAUAUAAAUCUAUUUAAAUUAAAAUACACUACAAAUAUAUCUGAGCUGGCGCACCUUGUCACUAAUCCUGGCCGCUUUGGAACACAGUGAAAAAUAACAGAAAUUAGCUUUUAAACUAAUUCUAGAACAAAAAUGUGUCUUUGGCCUGAAAUGUUUCAUAUCAAAAUUGGGUCACGAUCCAAAAAAAGGUUGGGAACCACUGUGCUACAUACUGUUUAUUCCACUUCUUUACAAAAAAUUGUUGUAGUUGGGCAAAAGGGGGAGACUUGGAUUCAGAAAUAAGAGAAAACAGGACGAGGAUUAGAAAAUGGAUGGAUUUUAAUCUUGAGGAAUGAAAUAAGGAGUCAUUCUCAUUCGCUGUCCUUUAGUUUACAACUUCUUGUUCAUGCUUAGUUAAAUAAUACAAAAAUAACUCAUGUAAAAAUAAUCUUUUGAGGGAAGAAGGAAACAUUUGUGAAACAGUUAUUGAAUGUUGCUGUGAUGGUUUUCUAUUGAUGAGCUCUGACUCACUGUUGCAACAUAAACUGGGAUGGGCACUGGAGUCUUGGAUUACGUUUGUACUAAAGAUAAAUGGGUGAUCAUUUAUUUAAAUUAGGGCCCUGACUAACACUGGAAUGUUGUCCAGUCUGUACCUCGCCUUGACCCCACGUCAGCUCUAAAAAAGUCCUCCAACCCAUAAUGGAAACAGUGGAAAUAGAAGAUCAACUAAAUAUGUUGGAUUUAAUUCAAUUAAAAGUCAAAGACAACUUGAUUAUUCCUCAUUUUUAGCCUCACAGUAGAAGUGUUUUUAGAGACAACAGAGACCUCUCCCACAGAGGAUGACUCAAAGGUUGUUUAAGGCUUUAGCUCAAAGGUCUGUAACCCAUGGCUCAGGAGCCACAUGUGGCUCUUUCAGCCCUCUGCUGUGGUUUUGUGGAAAAAAAUAAUCAGGUGUGUGUAUUUAUUCACCGAGGGAGAUUCAGACUUUAACUUGGAGAGAAUUCUGUAUUUUGGGUGAGACUCGAACAUUGUCCAUAAAACCUAAACCUCACUGAAUCACCUUUUUGGGAUUACCCUGGUUAUACCCCAUGAAGGAGCUCUGACUAUUUUUUUAUUCUCAAGCUAAAGAAGGUACAGCUUAAAAUCAAUAAGAACAUUAAAGUCGGCAACAAAUCAUUUAAAAUCAUACAUCAACAUGACCAUAAAUCUCUCUCAAUCAUACACAGUAGAGAAAAAAGUUCCUUUAACUUUGAUUUAAAAAUGUUCACAUGUGAUGCUGACUUCAGCUCUGCUGCAGUUUGUUCCACUUCUUUGCAGCAUAACAACUAAACACAGCAUCACCAUGGUUACUGUGAGCUCUGGGCUCCACUAUCUGACCUGUGUCCAUAGAUCUCAGAGACCUGCUGGGUUCAUACCUGACUAACAUCUCACUGAUGUAUUCUGGACCAAACCCAUUCACAGAUUUAUAACCAGCACCAGAACUUUACAGUCUCCUCUGAGGCUGACUGGGAGCCAGUGUAAAGACUUUAAAACUGGACUAAUGUGUUCUGACCUCUUUGUUCUGGUUCAGACCUGAGCUGCAGCGUUCUGAACCAGGUCUUGUAAAAUUUUCCAGAAAAUUCCCCUCGCAGGGUUCGAACUCACACAUUUUUGCUCAAUGACCAUAAAACUGAAGUUUGGCUUUUCUUCUUAAAUACAAGAAGGACUCACAUGGACAUUUUUGUUGCAUAACAAACACAAAUGUAACUCAGCAAUGAACUGAUUUUAUAAGAGCAACACACUAUAGAUUGUUUAUAAACAGCAUAAAGAAAACAAAAAAUCCCCAAAAAAAAAACGUUAAAUGAAGCUUUAUCUUCAUUUUAAACGUCUAAUGUGGCUCCUAAUGCUUUCUUUGGCUCUUUGACUGAUAAAGUUUGCGAGCUCUGCUUUAGCUGCUAUUAUUGGCUAACGUCACCAAACCUUAAAAGCAGUUUUUUGAUUUAAUGAAGUGGGAAAAAAAAGUCCCAAAGACAGCAUCGACUUGGAACUGAGAAAGUUGUUCGUCAUCAACGACUAGUCACGAAUAAAGCAUGUGACUGGUUUGGCCA
rnacentral:lncRNA from 1 species